AGCAGCCGCGGUAAUUCCAGCUCCAAUAGCGUAUAUUAAAGUUGUUGCAGUUAAAAAGCUCGUAGUUGAAUUUCGGGAUCAAUAUGUUGGUCGUGCCAUUGGUACGUACUGGCAUUAUUGGUUUCUACCUUCUGAAGAACCUCGAUGUCAUUAAUUUGGUGUCUUGGGAAAUCAGGACUGUUACUUUGAAAAAAUUAGAGUGUUUAAAGCAAGCUCGCGCUUGAAUACAUUAGCAUGGAAUAAUGAAAUAGGACGUUUGAUUCUAUUUUGUUGGUUUCUAGGAUCGACGUAAUGAUUAAUAGGGAUAGUUGGGGGCAUUAGUAUUCAAUUGUCAGAGGUGAAAUUCUUGGAUUUAUUGAAGACUAACUAUUGCGAAAGCAUUUGCCAAGGAUGUUUUCAUUAAUCAAGAACGAAAGUUAGGGGAUCGAAGACGAUCAGAUACCGUCGUAGUCUUAACCAUAAACUAUGCCGACUAGGGAUCGGAUGAUGUUAAUUUUUUAAUGACUCAUUCGGCGCCUUACG
rnacentral:rRNA from 1 species